CCGGUUCCGGUUCACACCAUCGAUCCACGAUGGUGACCCGGCGACC
rfam:Gordonia effusa NBRC 100432 DNA, contig: GOEFS017.